GAUGAACGCUGGCGGCGUGCCUAAUACAUGCAAGUCGAGCGAACAGACGAGGAGCUUGCUCCUCUGACGUUAGCGGCGGACGGGUGAGUAACACGUGUAUAACCUACCUAUAAGACUGGGAUAACUUCGGGAAACCGGAGCUAAUACCGGAUAAUAUAUUGAACCGCAUGGUUCAAUAGUGAAAGACGGUUUUGCUGUCUCUUCUAGCUGGAUCCGCGCCGCAUUAGCUAGUUGGUAAGGUAACGGCUUACCAAGGCGACGAUGCGUAGCCGAGCUGAGAGGGUGAUCGGCCACACUAGAACUGAGACACGGUCCAGACUCCUAAGGGAGGCAGCAGUAGGGAAUCGUCCGCAAUGGGCGAAAGCCUGACGGAGCAACGCCGCGUGAGUGAUGAAGGUCUUCGGAUCGUAAAACUCUGUUAUUAGGGAAGAACAAAUGUGUAAGUAACUAUGCACGUCUUGACGGUACCUAAUCAGAAAGCCACGGCUAACUACGUG
rnacentral:rRNA from 1 species